ACCACACGAAUACAGUUUAAUCGCCAUGGAGCCAAAGUCUUUACAGUCAGUUUCAUACAAAUGGGCUCCAUGGGAUUCCUAUCUGGGGUAUAACACAUUCAAACACAUCUACCGAACCCCAGGCAGAAAAGCACGAAUACAGCUUUUCUGCAGGCAAAAAUAAAGUCUUUUAAAAGGGGGCCAUAGUCAGAUGGCAGGAGGCUGGCAACCAGGCUUCUCCAGUGCACAGUGGCGAGGUUGGUUUCGCCACAGGCUGUGAGCAUAAUGUCACAUAAAGCAGGGCUUGACAAAUUUGCUUUCAAUCUAGGAGCCAGCUAAAAAAUGUUAGGAGCCAUUAUUUUCCCCCCAACUACAAAAAUACAAUUCUUAAAGGGACACUAUACUCACCAGAACUACUACAGCUCUAUGUAGUUGUCUGGUGUCUGCAAAGCCUGCAUGGACAAUCUAUAAAGUAAAUUCUGCCUUUUCAGAGAAAAGGCAGGGUUUACAUUGCUGCCUAGUAACACCUCUAGUGGCCGUCACUCAAAUGGCCACUAAUGUGUCUCCUACCUACAUUCAGCGUCUUCACACUCUGCAUGGAGGCGCUGAACGUUUCCCAUAGAGAUGCAUUGAUUUAAUACAUCUCUAUCGCAGAUUGAUAAUCUUAGCGAUGGAGGCUGGCCAACUGCAGCAAGACUGGCAUAGCGCUGGAAAAAAGGUGAGUACCGCCACCAUUCCCAUGCGAUGAGAGGGGGCUGGUGACUUAAACGCAC